rnacentral:misc_RNA from 1 species
UCAAACUUGGUCAUUUAGAGGAAGUAAAAGUCGUAACAAGGUUUCCGUAGGUGAACCUGCGGAAGGAUCAUUACAGAAUAAAACUUGGUAAACUGUUGCUGGCUCUCUUGGGAGCAUGUGCACGUUUAUCAUUUUUAUAUUUCCACCUGUGCAUCUUUGUAGGCCUGGGAUUCAUUAUGGCUUUUAUUUAUUGCCAUGUUUUGAAAGAACUGCCCAUCGGCUUUUCUUUAUAUCCCAGUUCCUAUGUUUUCACAUUUUACACGAUGUAUGUUGAAGAAUGCUUAAAUAGGUCUUCAAAAACCUAUAAAAACUAUAUACAACUUUCAGCAACGGAUCUCUUGGCUCUCGCAUCGAUGAAGAACGCAGC